UGCAAUGUGCAGGUUACAAGUCAUUGAUACAAGUCAUUGUCUCGUGUGUCCUAGGAAAAAGUAGAUGCCAGCUUUCACAGUAGCAGACUAAGGUUUGCUGCUCAUAGUGUUACAGGUAUACAUCUCUCCCCCUCUGUAUCAUGUGUUUGUAUUCGUUCCCUGAACAUGGCACUUUAACCUUUAGAUCAUGCUCAUAUAAUGACUCCAUUAGGGGUUGUUGGAUUGGAAUAUCCUAAUUGAAUGUCUUUGUUAGAGGGAAGGAAGUAACUGAAACUCUCUCUCUCUAUUUCUCUUGCUGUAUCAGUUAUACACAAUUGUGCCUGAACAUGAACAUCUACGCAUUGUUCUUAAAGAGUAUACUUGUUUAUUAAAUCAGUUUUUUGAGCGG
rnacentral:lncRNA from 1 species